UACGUAGGGUCCGAGCGUUAUCCGGAAUCAUUGGGCGUAAAGAGCUCGUAGGCGGUUCAGCAAGUCGGCUGUGAAAGUCCGGGGCUCAACCCCGGAAUUGCAGUCGAUACUGCUGUGACUCGAGUCCGGUAGAGGAGAAUGGAAUUCCCGGUGUAGCGGUGAAAUGCGCAGAUAUCGGGAGGAACACCAGUAGCGAAGGCGGUUCUCUGGGCCGGCACUGACGCUGAGGAGCGAAAGCGUGGGGAGCAAACAGGAUUAGAAACCCGCGUAGUCC
rnacentral:rRNA from 1 species